rnacentral:rRNA from 1 species
UACAGAGGUCUCAAGCGUUGUUCGGAUUCAUUGGGCGUAAAGGGUGCGUAGGCGGCGCGGUAAGUCGGGUGUGAAAUCUCGGGGCUUAACCGAGGAACCGCACUCGAUACUGCCGGGCUAGAGUCCGGGAGGGGAUGGUGGAAUUCCCAGUGUAGCGGUGAAAUGCGUAGAUAUUGGGAAGAACACCGGUGGCGAAGGCGGCCAUCUGGACCGGUACUGACGCUGAGGCGCGAAAGCUAGGGGAGCGAAUGGG